CUUGUGAGAGAUCACUUGGUGCCUUCGGGAACGCAGAGACAGGUGCUGCAUGGCUGUCGUCAGCUCGUGUUGUGAAAUGUUGGGUUAAGUCCCGUAACGAGCGCAACCCUUGUCCUUAUUUGCCAGCGCGUAAUGGCGGGAACUCUAAGGAGACUGCCGGUGACAAACCGGAGGAAGGUGGGGACGACGUCAAGUCAUCAUGGCCCUUACGAGUAGGGCUACACACGUGCUACAAUGGCCGGUACAAAGGGUUGCGAGCUCGCGAGAGUCAGCUAAUCCCGAAAAGCCGGUCUCAGUCCGGAUCGGAGUCUGCAACUCGACUCCGUGAAGUCGGAAUCGCUAGUAAUCGUGAAUCAGAAUGUCACGGUGAAUACGUUCCCGGGCCUUGUACACACCGCCCGUCACACCAUGGGAGUGGACUGCACCAGAAGUGGUUAGCUUAACCUUCGGGAAAGCGAUCACCACGGUGUGGUUCAUGACUGGGGUGAAGUCGUAACNAGGUAACCGUAAAGGGCG
rnacentral:rRNA from 1 species